rnacentral:rRNA from 1 species
AUUGAACGCUGGCGGCAGGCCUAACACAUGCAAGUCGAGCGGAGCGGCGGACGGGUGAGUACUGCCAAGGAAUCUGCCUGGUAGUGGGGGAUAACGGUCGGAAACGGGAGCUAAUACCGCAUAAUAGAAGAUGAGCCUAGGUCGGAUUAGCGAGUUGGUGGGGUAAAGGCAUAAAAAGGCGACGAUCCGUAACUGGUCUGAGAGGAUGAUCAGUCACCCUGGAACUGAGACACGGUCCAGACUCCUACGGUAGGCAGCAGUGGUGAAUAUUGGACAAUGGGCGAACCCCUGAUCCAGCCAUGCCGCGUGUGUGAAGAAGGUCUUCGGAUUGUAAAGCACUUUAAGUUGGGAGGCGUUACCAACAGAAUAAGCACCGGCUAACUUCGUGCCAGCAGCCGCGGUAAUAC